rnacentral:lncRNA from 1 species
GUUUCAUGGUACUUUUACCUAUGUGACCUAAUCUAGCAUGCCAUAAAGAAAAUAAAUCAAUCAUGUAAGCAAAAUUAACUUUAUUUAUUUCACUGUCAAUAGUAUAAAGUUUGACCAUUCCUUCACAUGAAUAGACAUUUCUAACAAAUUUCUCGUUAAGUGAUAAUACAAGUUUACCGAACUCAAAGACACUUUUAAUGCCCAAUUUUUCCAAAUGAUUUCCACUCACUAAAUUCCUAUUCAUAUCCGGAACAUGUAGUAACAUUUGUGAAAGUAACUUUUUUCCCAGAAGCGAAGAUAAUUUCUAUACUUUCUUUUCCAAUUACUUUGGAUUAACGAUCCAUUUGGAUCUCUUGGUCUCCAUCCACUUCAUGGUAUGUUUUGAACAAAGAUUUGUCAUAUGAUACAUGCACCGUGGCACAAGUAUCAUACCACUAGCUGGGAACAUUUCCCUUAAUUGCAUUUAUUUCACUCACAGUGGCCACAAUCUUGUCUUCUUGGAUGAAAUUCACUUUACCCUCAGAGUUAUUGUAUUUUCGGUGUCCACAAUCUUUUGCAUAGUGUCCAGAUUUCCCACAAACAAAGCUUCUUGAACUUAUUAAAGUUUCUCGAAAGCUUCCUUUUGUUGGAUUUUAUUGGCGGUUCGGAUUUUUCUACAGCAUUUACUUUGGAAGUGCCCUCAUGAGAAUCACUUUUAUCACAUAUUCUUGACUCUUCCUCAAUCCGAAGAUAUUUUUGCAGUUGUUCCAAAGAAUAAUCUUCGGAACUAUGCAUUAUCUUCUUCCGGUAUCCUUUCCAAGUUCCAGAAAGUUUGGCAAUUAUAACCCCCACUUGAAAGGUCUCUGGUAUUUCAAUUUUUACCACCUUCAAUUUAUUGACAAUUACUUGCAUUUCAUGUAUUUGGGGAAAAAGGGGAAUAUUCUCUACAAAUUUAAAAUCGAAGUACUUAGAAAUUAAGAAUUUUUUUGUACCUUCUUCUUCCACUUUGUAACUUUCGAGCACAUCCCAAAUUUCCUUUGCCGAAGUUGUAUUUGUAUAUAAGUCAUACAAACAAUCCGAUAAUGCGUUGAGAAUGUGACCGCAUAAUAUUAACUCAUCUUCUUGGUGCUUUUGUCUUUCAUUUCUCAUCGCUUCGGUUUCUCCAUUCGUUGGUUCCGAUAGUGGUGCAAGAUUCGGAUCUAGGAUGUAGAAGCUCUUCAAUGCAGUGAGAAGAAACUUCAAUUUGUCUUUCCAUUGGGUGUAGUUUGUUCCAUCGAACCAAUCUAACCGCACUAAGGCUUGAUUGAAGAGUUUGAUUGUCGCCAUCGUUGUCUCGCUUUCCAUUGCAGAAAAUAACGUUUGAGAUUGUUGUAAAUGUUGAAGUGAUGAAGAGUAGACGAAAAAAAUAUGGCGACAAGAUGAAAUGAAAUCAGAAAAAUCGCCAAGAACAAAUAUGUAGGCUUGAACACAGGAUCGCUGUCCUCAAAUGUUACUUGCCCAUUCUCCGAUGUUUUCGAGAUGCUUAAAGGAAUUUCGGCAAAUGGUUUGAAGGAUUGUAACAAGCCUUGUUGCAAAAAAUACUAAAGCACAAAGUAUUUUCCACCAAAAUUUGAAGAGCACAAUAAAUAAAAUGAAUAUGAGAAGAGAACCGGGGUAUAAUUUUUGAUGUGAAUGAGAAUGAAUUUCAAG